rnacentral:sRNA from 1 species
CCAGUUGACACUUACUUUGACAAAGGCAAAUUUGGAAGCAAUUACUUGAGGACAGUUCAUAUAGCAUCUGGACAGUCAACACGGGCACCAUGAAGCACUUCCUGAGGCAAUCUCCUGUAGGUGACCUUCCCAGAGCCUGCCCAUUGCCCUCAAGCUGUUGUCCGAGAUCCUCUGGGAGCUGGAUCACGUACAUCCCAGCUCUCCGGCCCCUUGGCUUUCCCUCAGCUUUUCAGGGCCAACUCUUUGGCCACUUCACUGUUUGUUAAGCUCUUCCCACAGAGCAUGAGCAAUAUAACCGAAAGCCAUGGGCACUCAAUAAAUGUUAGUUUUAAUUUCAUUCAUUUACUCCUUGGAAUUUUCACUUUUGUACUGAAGUGAGGAAAGCACGCUGAUUUUCCAGGCUGUUCUGGCUGUCCCUGUGGGAUGGUGGAGUUGGCUUUCCUGUCCAACCUGAGAGGAACUUACUGUCUCUCUCUCCUCUGCCUCUCCAACACCCUGGGUGUUUUUCUUUUAUAGAAUUGUCACACUGUUUUUCAACUUUCGGUUUUUACUGUCCUUUUCCUUGCUAGACUAUAAGCUCCUUGUGGACAGGGAGGUCAUAUGGCUUGCUGGGAAAAUAAGUUCUUGACUCAUGGUCACUUUUUCCACUGCCAUAUCUCCCACUCUCAUUUCUUCUGUACUGCACGGUCAGU